rnacentral:rRNA from 1 species
AGUCGAACGAGAGAAGAGAAGCUUGCUUUUCUGAUCUAGUGGCGGACGGGUGAGUAACACGUGAGCAAUCUGCCUUUCAGAGGGGGAUACCGAUUGGAAACGAUCGUUAAUACCGCAUAACAUAAUUGAACCGCAUGAUUUGAUUAUCAAAGAUUUAUCGCUGAAAGAUGAGCUCGCGUCUGAUUAGCUAGUUGGUAAGGUAACGGCUUACCAAGGCGACGAUCAGUAGCCGGACUGAGAGGUUGAUCGGCCACAUUGGGACUGAGACACGGCCCAGACUCCUACGGGAGGCAGCAGUGGGGAAUAUUGCACAAUGGAGGAAACUCUGAUGCAGCGAUGCCGCGUGAGGGAAGAAGGUUUUAGGAUUGUAAACCUCUGUCUUCAGGGACGAAAAAUGACGGUACCUGAGGAGGAAGCUCCGGCUAACUACGUGCCAGCAGCCGCGGUAAUACGUAGGGAGCGAGCGUUGUCCGGAAUUACUGGGUGUAAAGGGAGCGUAGGCGGGAUCGCAAGUCAGAUGUGAAAACUAUGGGCUUAACCCAUAAACUGCAUUUGAAACUGUGGUUCUUGAGUGAAGUAGAGGUAAGCGGAAUUCCUAGUGUAGCGGUGAAAUGCGUAGAUAUUAGGAGGAACAUCAGUGGCGAAGGCGGCUUACUGGGCUUUAACUGACGCUGAGGCUCGAAAGCGUGGGGAGCAAACAGGAUUAGAUACCCUGGUAGUCCACGCCGUAAACGAUGAUUACUAGGUGUGGGGGGACUGACCCC